rnacentral:snRNA from 1 species
UUUCCCUUUCCCUUUCUACAUUG